UACAGCAAGCCAAAUGCUGAGACGCUGAGGUCUGUAGCUGAGAAAAGGCUUAUUCAGGAGGCCCCCAAGUGAGAGAAGACGGGAGAACGAACCUCAAAUCUGGCUGCCUGAAGGUAUCUUGAUCCUGUGUGACUUGCCUCCCCCUAUACCAAGCUCACCUACCUUUUGAAACGUAAUUGAUUCCACUCCUGCUGGACAGCCUGGGAUCUGGCUCGCCCAGGGUGCUGCACUAAGCAGGAGCCCAGAGCUGUUGAUGUGCGGAGUGAGCUGGGUGGAGCUGCCCUCAUGUUUGUGAUUAUAACUGCACAAGGAGAACUUCACUGGGACUCAACUCCUCAUAUAAUGACAACAAAGACAUUACUUACUGCCAAGAAGAAAGUGUGCAUUUGAAAGUGAAAUCCUCCCACUUUUCAAGGAGAAAACAUCUGGGAACAGUGUACAUCCUUGGACCUCUGGACCUCUAAAUGUAUGAGGAACACCUCCAGCUCUUCCCCUUGACCUUCAUCCUUGCCCAGAGGAGGAAGAGAGCCAGUCCUGUCAUGUUUAGGGUGAGAACUGAGCAUGCUUGGUCACCAGCCUGAUGCACAUUGUUUUCUGAUUCACCUUGCCCACAGACGCAUGCCUUCUGCUUCCUCUUGCCGGGCCCUUCCAGGGUCAGACUCAUGCUGGAUGAGAAGACCGUAUUCAUCCAGGAGAGUCAGGGACUGGGGGUCAGGUCCCUAUAUCAUGUCAGACAUCAGGAGGCCCAUUGUGACCACACAUAUGAACUACAGUCUCCCAUCUAGUGGUGUCAGUGGUGAAGCUGACGUGUUUCACACCAUCUGUCUGACUUCUGUGUUGUCUCUCAGUUGGUUUCAAAUUUGGGAGUGGAUAAAAGGGGUUUAGGAAGGCCAAUUAAUAACACUAGUAUCUUGAUUCAAAGUCCCCUCAAAGCCAGGGACUUUGAGGUGAAAAUUCUGGUGGCUGGGAGUAUAGUGAGUAAGGAGCGAGGUCAAGGCUUUGGGCUUAGCCAGAGUAUAAGACCUUAGAUUUUAAUACAA